rnacentral:rRNA from 1 species
UUCCUUCAAAAACAAAUUUUAGGUAAGCCCUGCCCAGUGCUUGUAAACGGCCGCGGUAUCCUUGACCGUGCAAAGGUAGCAUAAUCAAUUGCCUCUUAAUUAGUGGCUAGAAUGAAAGGGUAAACAAAAUUAAUACUGUCUAUACUUGACCAAAAAAUUAGAAUCUUAGUGAAAAUACUAAGAAUUAUAGAAAGACAAAAAGACCCUAUCGAGCUAUUUUUAAAAUAUAAUAUAUUUUGUUGGGGCAACAUAGGUUAAAAUAAAACACCCUAAAAUUUUUUUAUUAAUGACGAAACCUAAAAAAUCAAAUAAGCUACCGUAGGGAUAACAGACUUAUUUUUUCUGAGAGUUCAAAUUGACGAAAAAGAUUAGCACCUCGAUGUUGGCUCAGGAUUACUAACACGCGCAACCUCGUGUUUAGUGGGUUUGUUCACCCUUUAAAUUCCU